rnacentral:rRNA from 1 species
UUGUAUGGGAAGAACAGCAAUAGGAAAUGAUUUUAGUUUGACGGUCCAUCCGAAAGGGACGGUAAAUACGCCAGCAGCCGCGGUAAUACGUAUUCCCGAGCGUUAUCCGGAUUUAUUGGGCGUAAAGCGAGCGCAGACGGUNUAUUAAGUCUGAUGUGAAAGCCCGGAGCUCAACUCCGGAAUGGCAUUGGAAACUGGUUAACUUGAGUGCAGUAGAGGUAAGUGGAACUCCAUGUGUAGCGGUGGAAUGCGUAGAUAUAUGGAAGAACACCAGUGGCGAAGGCGGCUUACUGGACUGCAACUGACGUUGAGGCUCGAAAGUGUGGGUAGCAAACAGGAUUAGAUACCCUGGUAGUCCACACCGUAAACGAUGAACACUAGGUGUUAGGAGGUUUCCGCCUCUUAGUGCCGAAGCUAACGCAUUAAGUGUUCCGCCUGGGGAGUACGACCGCAAGGUUGAAACUCAAAGGAAUUGACGGGGACCCGCACAAGCGGUGGAGCAUGUGGUUUAAUUCGAAGCAACGCGAAGAACCUUACCAGGUCUUGACAUCCUUUGAAGCUUUUAGAGAUAGAAGUGUUCUCUUCGGAGACAAAGUGACAGGUGGUGCAUGGUCGUCGUCAGCUCGUGUCGUGAGAUGUUGGGUUAAGUCCCGCAACGAGCGCAACCCUUAUUGUUAGUUGCCAGCAUUCAGAUGGGCACUCUAGCGAGACUGCCGGUGACAAACCGGAGGAAGGCGGGGACGACGUCAGAUCAUCAUGCCCCUUAUGACCUGGGCUACACACGUGCUACAAUGGCGUAUACAACGAGUUGCCAGCCCGCGAGGGUGAGCUAAUCUCUUAAAGUACGUCUCAGUUCGGAUUGUAGUCUGCAACUCGACUACAUGAAGUCGGAAUCGCUAGUAAUCGCGGAUCAGCACGCCGCGGUGAAUACGUUCCCGGGUCUUGUACACACCGCCCGUCACACCAUGGGAGUUUGUAAUGCCCAAAGCCGGUGGCCUAACCUUUUAGGAAGGAGCCGUCUAAGGCAGGACAGAUGACUGGGGGAAGCG